CCCUUUAAAGAACCUCUGGAAUAGGAGUUAGAAAUGUGUUCGGGGUCAAACAAGUCACAUUGAGCGACAAAAGCUAACAACCUUCACCAAGAGGAAAUCUGAAGACUCGCCACCUGUUCAGAGGUUUGCUUUUCAGAAGAUUUGGAAUGGCCUACCCUCAAAACGACUAAAGGCAUUCAUUUAUGCCACAUGAUAAAAAUAAGCAUUGUGCUUGCUGAAAGAUCUGGGAAUUUAGGACCAGCCUGGGCAACAUAGUGAGAC